rnacentral:tRNA from 1 species
AUUAAGAUGUCUGAUUUAAGUAGCAAACUGUAAAUUUGUUUAAAGGUUUAUACCUUCUUAAUA